rnacentral:rRNA from 1 species
CCUACGGGAGGCAGCAGUGAGGAAUAUUGGUCAAUGGGCGUAAGCCUGAACCAGCCAAGUCGCGUGAGGGAUGAAGGUUCUAUGGAUUGUAAACCUCUUUUAUAAGGGAAUAAAGUGCGGGACGUGUCCCGUUUUGUAUGUACCUUAUGAAUAAGGAUCGGCUAACUCCGUGCCAGCAGCCGCGGUAAUACGGAGGAUCCGAGCGUUAUCCGGAUUUAUUGGGUUUAAAGGGUGCGUAGGCGGCCUUUUAAGUCAGCGGUGAAAGUCUGUGGCUCAACCAUAGAAUUGCCGUUGAAACUGGGAGGCUUGAGUGUGUUUGAGGCAGGCGGAAUGCGUGGUGUAGCGGUGAAAUGCUUAGAUAUCACGCAGAACCCCGAUUGCGAAGGCAGCCUGCCAAGCCAUGACUGACGCUGAUGCACGAAAGCGUGGGGAUCAAACAGGAUUAGAUACCCCAGUAGUC